UAUUAUUUUAUUUCUACUUUGCUCCACUUCUCCUUACAUCCCAAACUCGUACUAUUUCAUCUAUUAAUAUUUCAGCAAUAUCUCUAAAUAAUAAUAAUUCUUAAAACAUGACAUAUAUAAAAGAAACUUAAUGACUAUUUGGGUGGUAAAAGAUUAAAAGUGAUUUGAUUCUCCUCCGCCACGCGGUCAGGUGUGGGUCCCCUCCCGUCGAAUCUGGGUGGGCUCUGUGGCUUUGCUACAGCAGAGGAGAUGCUGUAGCAGCUUCAGGGUCCAGGCCUUAAGACCGUCUAUUCCCUUUCUCUUGGAGCAAUUUUUCUGGUAGUCUUGAAUUUCAUAUAACAAAUUUAACUACCUUGAGACAGCUGUGAUGGAGAGGCAUGUGCAAGUGCUCCAGUCAACGGUCCCAGCUUAGCCCAGCCUUCUAGGCUUUGCUGCCAAGGCACCAGAUGUGUGAGUGAAGCCAUCCUGGACCAUCCGGAACAGCCCACCUGACGCCUCCGUUGACAACAUGUUGAGCAGACAGAUCGUCCAGGCUUCCCCUGCUGGAUUUCCUAACUCAAAAGAUUCUGAGGCAAAGAUAGUUGAAUACAUCAAUUGUGCAUGUCAAUGUGCUUGAACUCUAGGGAUUACAUUGGACUCACCUGGAUAAUCCAGGAUCAUCUCCCUGUUUCAAGAUCUUUGGUCACAUCUGCGAAGUCCCUUUGGCCAUGUAGGGCUGAGCUAUUCUGCCAGGGCAACAUUCUACUGUAUUCAAAUCAGCUGUCCUGGAGUUGAGACACCUGUUAGUGUCUGUUACUUAAGAAAACCAAGCGAGAUGCUGUUGGAGAGACAACAUGUAAUCAACUAGAAAAUACAAUUCAAAGUAGCAACAAGAACUAAAAGGGAUCUAAAUUAAGAACAAAGUUAUUUUUGUGGAAAAAUUUAAGACUGUAAUAAAGGGCAUAAGUG